CGUAGGACGAACGCUGGCGGCGUGCCUAAUACAUGCAAGUCGAACGGUCUUUCUAUGGAAGCUUGCUUCCACUGAGAAGAUAGUGGCGAACGGGUGAGUAACACGUGGGUAACCUGCCAUAAGAGGGGGAUAACAUCCGGAAACGGGUGCUAAUACCGCAUAGUUUUCUUGAUCGCAUGAUCGGGAAAGGAAAGACGGCCUUUGUGCUGUCGCUUAUGGAUGGACCCGCGGCGUAUUAGUUAGUUGGUGAGGUAACGGCUCACCAAGACGAUGAUACGUAGCCGACCUGAGAGGGUGAUCGGCCACAUUGGGACUGAGACACGGCCCAAACUCCUACGGGAGGCAGCAGUGGGGAAUCUUCUGCAAUGGACGAAAGUCUGACGGAGCAACGCCGCGUGAGUGAAGAAAAGGUUUUCGGAUCGUAAAACUCUGUUGUCAGAGAAAAACAAGUUGGAGAGUAACUGCUCCAGCCUUGACGGUAUCUGACCAGAAAGCCACGGCUAACUACGUGCCAGCAGCCGC
rnacentral:rRNA from 1 species